AGGAAAGGCAAGAUAAAAUACUCUCCAACCAACGGGACGAAGUUGAAAAAUGCGGAAACGAAUGCACUGAGGCAGUCCAAGCUGAACCCCAUGAGUAAGUCUGACACUGGGCUGCAUGAGAUGAACCGGCUGCCCUGCAAUGGCAAUGGUGCUCCUAAGAGCCGUCCAGCCAGCAUGGACCUGCUCCUCCUCCACUGCCGGCGCUCCACGUCUGACCUGCAGUCCUCCCCCCAGCCCCGCCAGCUCCCCCAGGUGCCCGACGGAGAGCACGCCUACUCUCAGGUGGGGCUCCGCGUCUCCCCCGCCCC